AGCAACCAUAACGAAGGGGUUCCACCUGAUACCAUUCCGAACUCAGCAGUUAAGCCCUUCAGUGCCGAUGAUACUCACAAGGGAAAGUAGGUCGUUGCU
rnacentral:rRNA from 1 species